rfam:Geobacter sulfurreducens PCA, complete genome.
AAACAGGCCGUGAAGAGGAGUAGUAGUCCGACCCCUUAUCUUUGUCGGUAGCAGCGAAAAUGCCGACGCCAGAGAGCCGGUGCUUGGUGCAAACCGGUAUAAGGAAGGACGAACUCGCCUCGGAGCCGCCCCCGCGAAAUCGGUCGUUGUCGAUUGACGAUCCGCAGGUAGUUGGGGCCGUAUCCCGCGUUAAGGGAAAAUGAGGUUCUUGUGUCGCCGUUUAUCGGCGCAUGCGAGGACGAAAAAAGGGUGGUACCGCGAGCGCAAGCCUUCGCCCCUUUA